GGAGUAUGCUGCCACCG
rnacentral:misc_RNA from 1 species